ACGGGUGAGUAAUACAUCGGAACGUGCCCUGUAGUGGGGGAUAGCUAGUCGAAAGAUUAGCUAAUACCGCAUACGACCUGAGGGUGAAAGUGGGGGACCGCAAGGCCUCAUGCUAUAGGAGCGGCCGAUGUCUGAUUAGCUAGUUGGUGGGGUAAAGGCCCACCAAGGCGACGAUCAGUAGCUGGUCUGAGAGGACGAUCAGCCACACUGGGACUGUGACACGGCCCAGACUCCUACGGGAGGCAGCAGUGGGGAAUUUUGGACAAUGGGGGCAACCCUGAUCCAGCAAUGCCGCGUGUGUGAAGAAGGCCUUCGGGUUGUAAAGCACUUUUGUCCGGAAAGAAAUCGCACUUACUAAUAUUAGGUGUGGAUGACGGUACCGGAAGAAUAAGGACCGGCUAACUACGUGCCAGCAGCCGCGGUAAUACGUAGGGUCCAAGCGUUAAUCGGAAUUACUGGGCGUAAAGCGUGCGCAGGCGGUUGUGCAAGACCGAUGUGAAAUCCCCGGGCUUAACCUGGGAAUUGCAUUGGUGACUGCACGGCUAGAGUGUGUCAGAGGGGGGUAGAAUUCCACG
rnacentral:rRNA from 1 species